rnacentral:rRNA from 1 species
ACGCACGCUGGCGGCGUGCUUAACACAUGCCAGUCGCACGGAAAGGCCCUGCUUUUGUGGGGUGCUCGAGUGGCGAACGGGUGAGUAACACGUGAGUAACCUGCCCUUGACUUUGGGAUAACUUCAGGAAACUGGGGCUAAUACCGGAUAGGAGCUCCUGCUGCAUGGUGGGGGUUGGAAAGUUUCGGCGGUUGGGGAUGGACUCGCGGCUUAUCAGCUUGUUGGUGGGGUAGUGGCUUACCAAGGCUUUGACGGGUAGCCGGCCUGAGAGGGUGACCGGCCACAUUGGGACUGAGAUACGGCCCAGACUCCUACGGGAGGCAGCAGUGGGGAAUAUUGCACAAUGGGCGGAAGCCUGAUGCAGCAACGCCGCGUGCGGGAUGACGGCCUUCGGGUUGUAAACCGCUUUCGCCUGUGACGAAGCGUGAGUGACGGUAAUGGGUAAAGAAGCACCGGCUAACUACGU